rnacentral:rRNA from 1 species
AGCAGCCGCGGUAAUUCCAGCUCCAAUAGCGUAUAUUAAAGUUGCUGCAGUUAAAAAGCUCGUAGUUGAAUUUCGGGAUCAAUAUGUUGGUCGUGCCUCGGUACGUACUAGCUUAUUGGUUUCUCCCUUCUGACGAACCAUGAUGUCAUUUAUUUGGUGUUAUGAGGAAUCAGGACUGUUACUUUGAAAAAUUAGAGUGUUUAAAGCAGGCUCACGCUUGAAUACAUUAGCAUGGAAUAAUGAAAUAGGACGUUUGAUUCUAUUUUGUUGGUUUCUAGGAUCGACGUAAUGAUUAAUAGGGAUAGUUGGGGGCAUUAGUAUUCAAUUGUCAGAGGUGAAAUUCUUGGAUUUAUUGAAGACUAACUACUGCGAAAGCAUUUGCCAAGGAUGUUUUCAUUAAUCAAGAACGAAAGUUAGGGGAUCGAAGACGAUCAGAUACCGUCGUAGUCUUAACCAU